rnacentral:tRNA from 1 species
GCGGCAGUAGCUCAGUGUAGAGCCUUCGCUUCGAAUGCGGAGAUACCUGGGUUCCAUUCCCGACUGCUUCC